GCGAGACCCUUUGCUCAACUCCUGAACUGUGCACGUGCGGCCAUGCAGCUCGAGUGAGAGCAGAAUUCUAACAGUCUCUGCUUCAGUUUCUCCUCCCAGAACCUGCCUCGGGUUUCCUCGACGACAGACUGUAACCUUGUAAACUGCGUUAAACCCUUUCUUUCCCAAGAUGCUAUAGGUCAUGGUGUUUAUCAAAGCCUUAGAAACUAAACUAGAAGAGUCUGAUGACUCCUUAUUACGGCUUCAUUUACUACCUUGUAAUCCCAACCAGGAACUUGAAUUUAAAAUCAUGAGGAUAAACAAAGCGGAUUUGGGAGAACCAUUUGGACAGAGUUAAGGGUUGGGACCCUAUGUGGCAGGAGCCAUGUGACUUCUUUGAGGAACAAGGCCUGAAAACAGCACAAUGGCUCUUCUUAUGGCAAGACCCUGGAGAUCCUAGGCCACUUGGCAAAGACAGUUUGCUGUCUUUUUGGACAGUUUGCUGCUUAAAUCCGGGCAUGACCCCAAGAGCAUGUGUGCUAUCUGCUCUCCUCGCUUUCACUAUGCUGGUCGUACUGCUAGCCGGAAUGAGUCACACAGAGUAUCGGGUUCAGUUUGGUCCACAUCUUCAUCAACAUUCAUCAUUUUCUUAAUGACUGUCAUUCUGAUUGGGGCAAAUGGAUAGAACUAGAAAAAAAUUCUGAGUGAGAUAACCCAGCCCCAGAAAGACAAACAUGGUGCAUUUCAGGAUUAGAGAGAAAACUGGAGCCAGGAAAACACCCAGGAAUCUAGAAGGAUAACUCCAGUGAGGAUUCCUUGCAAUAGUGGAGAAGGUGACUGAACUAGCCAUCUACUGUAAUCAGAUUGGUGACUACCCUAAUUGUCAUCAGAGAUACUCCACCCAGUAACUGAUGGAAACAGGUGCAGAGAUCCACAGCCAAGCACUGGGUGAGCUCCAGAAGACUUGCUGAACAAAGGGAGGAGGGACUAUACAAGCCAGGGGGGUCAUGAUGAGGAACCCACGGAGAUAGCUGACUUGAGCUUGCAGGAGCUCAUGGUUUCUGGACCAAAAGUUAGGGAGCCUCCAUGGGGCCUCUGCAUGUAUGUGACAGUUGUGUAGCUUGAUCUCUUUGUAAGUUCCUAGCAGUGAGUGCAGGACUUGUCCUGGUGCUUGGCUGGCUUUGGGGAACCUGUUCCCCAUGCUGGAUUACCUGGCACAGCCUUGAUGCAAGAGAAGGAGCUUAGUCAUGCCUCAAUUUGAUGUGCCAUGUUUUGUUCGAGCCCAUGGGAGGCCUGCACCUUUCUGAAUGAAG